rnacentral:tRNA from 1 species
GGGAAGAUGGCUCAGUGGUAGUGCGCUUGCCUUGCAUGCAUGAGGCCCUGGGUUCGAUUCCUCAGUACCA